GACGAACGCUGGCGGCGUGCUUAACACAUGCAAGUCGAACGGAAAGGCCCUGCUUUUGUGGGGUGCUCGAGUGGCGAACGGGUGAGUAACACGUGAGUAACCUGCCCUUGACUUUGGGAUAACUUCAGGAAACUGGGGCUAAUACCGGAUAGGAGCUACUGCUGCAUGGGGGGGGUUGGAAAGUUUCGGCGGUUGGGGAUGGACUCGCGGCUUAUCAGCUUGUUGGUGAGGUAGUGGCUUACCAAGGCUUUGACGGGUAGCCGGCCUGAGAGGGUGACCGGCCACAUUGGGACUGCGAUACGGACCAGACUCGUACGGGAGGCAGCAGUGGGGAAUAUUGCACAAUGGGCGGACGUCUGAUGCAGCAACGCUGCGUGCGGGAUGCCGGCCUUCGGGUUGUAAACCGCUUUCGCCUGUGACGAAGCGUGAGUGACGGUAAUGGGUAAAGAAGCACCGGCUAACUACGUG
rnacentral:rRNA from 1 species